rnacentral:rRNA from 1 species
GAUGAACGCUGGCGGCGUGCCUAAUACAUGCAAGUCGAGCGAACAGACGCGUAGCUUUCUCCUCUGCCGUUAGCGGCGUACGUGUGAGUAACACGUGGAUCCCCUCCCUUUAAGACUGGGCUAACUUCUUGAAACCGGUGCUAAUACCUGAUAAUAUAUUGCAUCGCAUUUUUCAAUAGUGUACGACGGUUUUGCUGUCACUUAUAGAUGGUUCCGCGCCGCAUUAGCUAGUUGGUAAGGUAACGGCUUACCAAGGCAACGAUGCGUAGCCGAGCUGAGAGGGGGAGCGGGCACACUAGAACGGAGACACGGUACAGACUCCUACGGGAGGCAGCAGAAGGGAAUCUUACGCAAUGGGCGAAAGCCUGAAGGAGUAAAGCCGCGUGAGGGAUGAAGGGAAUCGGAUCGUAAAACUCUGUUAUUAGGGAAGAACAAAUGUGUAAGUAACUAGGAACGUCUUGACGGUACCUAAUCAGAAAGCAACGGCUAACUACGUG